rnacentral:rRNA from 1 species
GACGAACGCUGGCGGCGUGCUUAACACAUGCAAGUCGAACGGAGUGGCGAACGGGUGAGUAACGCGUGGGUGAUCUGCCUUGCACUUCGGGAUAAGCUUGGGAAACUGGGUCUAAUACCGGAUAGUGCAAGAUGAGCUCGCGGCCUAUUGGCUUGUUGGUGGGGUAAUGGCCUACCAAGGCGUCGACUGGUAGCCGGCCUGAGAGGGUGUACGGGCACAAGGGGACUGAGAGACGGCCCAGAGUGCAACGGGGGGCAGCAGUGGGGAAUAUUGCACAAGGGGCGGAAGCCUGAUGCAGCGACGCCGGGGGGGGGAAGAAGGCUUUCGGGGUGUAAACUCCUUUCGACAGGGACGCGGUACCUGUAGAAGAAGCACCGGCUAACUACGUGCCAGCAGCCGCGGUAAUAC